CCCUGCAAGAGAGGCACAGGGUGUUCCCACCUGCCAAAGCGUGGAUUAACCCAUGGAAUUCUGCACUCUUCAGCAUGGCACAGUGUGUGGCAGCCAUGGGGGAGCCUGACCACGAAGAAGACGACAUGGAGGAAUUCUUUAGCAUGCAGUCAUGGAAUGCAGUACCUCGCUCCUAUCCAAUGUGGUAAGAGAGAAGAUAUAGGAAGAUUGUUAGCUACAAUGAGGUGGCUAGGAUGGAUAUUUGUUUUCCUGUGAUCACUACCACUGUGAUACAAAAGAUAAGUAUUGCUAUUUGUGCCUAAGGAAAAAAAAAACCAAACAACGUAUGAGAAUAUUAUUUCGGGUAAAUAAUCCUUGUUUCCUUUGUAGCCUUAUAAAAAGGGAAAAUAACCUCUACCAAUAAAUAAAAAUUGUUAAAUGUGUUAACAAUGAAUCAGGCAUAUUCUUUUAUGGUAUAAGUUUUUUGAGAUAGAAAAUAAAAUCCUUUUUUGUUUUCAGAAAUUAUUUCACAAAGAAAGACAUUAACAGUAAAAGGAGGGAUGAUUUCUGGUGAUAUUAGAAAGCCAUCUAUUUUUAAAAGAUGAACUCCUGUUGAAACUUUUUAGGAUACAGUUUGAAAAAAGCAAUAAUCCUGAAAAAAUCUAUACACUUAGCAGUUUCACAGCACUGAAUUAAGUUAAUAAUUGACAAAGUAUUCUAACAAGAAAUGUCUAGAAAACAUAUCAGGUUAAGGGAAAAGUAAAAGAAUAAUAUAAAGCAAAUUAAGAUAACCAUCUGCAUUCAUUUUAAAUUAUCCUUACACUAUUUUGUAUAUCUCACUAAAAGAUUUUGCAGAUUUCUAACCAGUGAUAUACUGAAGGGAGAACCCCAGGCUACAAUAGCCCCUUGUAUAGCCAGAUAGGAAUGGGUUUUUUUCUUACCCUUCUCUGAGUUUUUUUCUUACCCUUCUCUGUGUGAAGGACAAGCCCAUUUUGGAGGUGACUAAAAGGGGCCUUGGGGAAAAGAAAUGGUCACUUACUACACAAAUGCAUUUUGACAGAAAUGCACUGGAGUAAGGGUUUGAAGAGGUAGCUUGUCUAUCUUUCCAUUUCUGUAACUCAAGAGUGAAUAAAAGAUAAGAAUGGAAUUCCUAUAAGGAAAACAAUUUUGAAAGAAAAGAGAUCACUGGUGCACACUGGAAAAGUGCAAUACUGAAGACUUGUUAUCACUUCAGCAGAGAUUCAAAAUUUGUAGUCCUUCAAGGAAACACCAAGCAAGACCAAACAUUCUUUACUUUAACAAUAACUCAGAAAAUGUUCAUUAUUUGUUUUACUGACUGCAUCAAAGGAAAAUAUGACACAAAACUAGAUUUGAUUAGUCAUUAGUAAAAGAGCAUUUGAAUUCAUUACAUAGUAUUUUUUGAAGCAAAGAAUACUGGAUAAACUAAAUACUAGUAUUUGAAAAGAAAGUUCAACUUUGUAAUUCAAAAAGAUAAAACUUGCUGUUUGAUAUUUGAAUUUUUUAUGCAAAAGCUACAAGCAUUCACCACCAUAUAUUGACACACUGACAUUUUGCAAGAUAAUGCGUUAAAAAUUUAUGUAAUCCCAUUUUGAAAUACUAUGGUAUGUACAAUUUAUAUACACAUUACUGAAUACAUAUAUCUAACUUAGUUAUGCAAUUGUUGUGCUUAUGUUCCCAAUGCAGGAUUUUCUUAUUCAAAAAUUUAGAAACACAUACCAUAAUAUAUUUCACAGAAUCACAGAGUAGGUUAGGCUGGAAGGGAGCACAGUGGGUCAUUUGGUCCAACCUCCCUGCUCAAGCAGGGUCAUCUCAGACAUGUUGCCCAGGAUUGUGUCCAGACAGUUCUUGAAUAUCUCAAAUAAGGGAGGCAAUUUUUGUAAUUUUGCUUGCAAAGGCCAAGGAGCCAGUGUUUGUAUAAUCAUCUUUAGGUUUGCAUGCCAAGGUUUUGAUAGUGGAAGGACUGUGCUCACGAAAGGGACCCAUGGUGGAUCACAGUGAACAGAACUGCAGCCUGUGGGAAGAGCCCACAAGUUUGUGAAGACUGCCUCCAUGGGAGGGACUUCAUGCUGGAGAAGAGGAGAAGUGUGAGAAGUCCUUCCCCAUGAGGAGGAAGCAACAGCAGAGACAGCAUGUGAUGAACUGACCAGUCCCCAUUCCCUGUCCUCCUGUGCCAUUGCAAGGGAUUAUUUCUCUUUAUACUACUCUGAUUUUGAUUGGCAGCAAAUUAAAUUAAUUUUCCCAAGCCAAGACUGUUUUGCAUCCCAUGAUGACUGAUAACUCUGGUCUUAUCUUGACCCAUAAACCUUUUGUUAUGUUUAACCUCCCCAUCCUGCUGAGGAGUGGAGUGAUAGAGCCACUUUGGUGGGCACCUGGCAUUCAGCUGGAAUCAAUCCAACAUAUCAUCUAUUUUAUCCUGAACAUUCUAUCUUAAAUAUUAAGGAGAAAAGGCACAGAAAAAGCAGAAAUUGGGAAAAUAAAAACUAAUAACUUAUGAAUGAAGAACAUAUACAUUUCUCAGUGUAAACCAGGAUAAUAAAUAAUGUAAAUUACACCAUGUGUCUUCAUAGUAUGUAUACUCAAAAACAUAAUCUUAAAGAUACAAAGCAGACAAACAGCUUUGGAUUUUCAGCAGUCUUAGAUGAU